rnacentral:lncRNA from 1 species
UUGGGUCCUUCUGGUUUAAUGAGAACACCACUCACUGCAGCACAGCACCGGGCAGCAGCACCAGCUGCUCCACGUCCCCGUGCCUGCAUCCAGACAGCCCCGUCCCAUCCGUGACCUCGGCAUGCAGCAGCUGCACGGCACCGCUCUGCUCCUUCCAACCCCGGGCGCAGACGUACGCUCACCAGCACUCAGACCACUGCAUCUGCCCUAAGUUAAAAAGUAAAGGUAGAAAUUCACUUUUGUCAAGGUUAUCGUUAGGAUUUAUUGAUGCGAGAGAAACUCCGUAUGUCAGUGCGUCAGUGGAGGAACUGAUGUUACAGAAGGACACGGCCCAGGUGGCGGUACAGCAUUCCAGAACCUCGGAACUCAGAAACAGACAUCACACACAGCUGCAGUCCUGCAUUUUCUGGGGUGGGAUGGAAACGCUCCGGGAUAAGAGUGAUGUGAGCCCUGCCAGCCAGCAGCACAGCGCUGUGCACGCAGCCACGCCGGCUCCCAGUGCUCGGGGUGCAGCUUGUCCUUUCAGUCCAACAGCCGCAGCCACCCUCUUAGCAGCAGCUCUCUGGCACUCCCCAUGCAGCAGCGCCCUUGCAGGGCUGGCAGCGCAGCACACGUUUCCUCUGGCCAAGAAAAAAAUCCAGUGUGGGGAAAAAAAAACCAAAACGCACGUAUGUAACAAAAGCAGUGCUUAACAACCACAGGAAAAAAGAACAUGCUCUUGGACUCCUCUACCAGCAUCCUCCGCAGACCCUGAUAGCGUCGCUCCCAAAGGGUUGCUAAUCCAGCUCUGUCAGUCCUCAGGUCCCUAAACGUUUCCUAGCUCUGUCAGCCCAUAGUUUCUCACUACACAAACUGUCUGCAGCAUGAGCCUACAGAAACACCUGCUAAUGUGCACAAGACUUCCAUCUGAUUGAAUGGAAUAGUUCGAGGAGACUGAAGUCUUUACUUCUAGAAUCUGUCCUUGGAUCGUGGCUCUCCGGCAGCUCCCAUCCCAACCAGGAGAGCUCCACGUGCCCAGCGAGGCGGGACGCGUUCAUGUUUCCCAAAGGCGUACGGGUGCCGAAUAAACCCCUCACAGUAUUCCCAGGAAAUGAUUCAGAAGAGGAGAUGAUUUUUCAACCAAACGAGAUCCUCUGGUCCUGCGUGUGUCAGCCCAUGGCCAAUAGAACCAGCAGCUGCCAUGGACGUCUCCAUUUAAGUACGGAACAGUCAAGGGAGCAGAGCGGGGUGCCCAGGCUGCCCCCCGCGGGGACACGCGGUCACUCUGUUCCCAGCAGUCUGUCUCUUUUGCAGGAGUCAAAUGUUUGAUUCCAUUUGUUCUAGCAGGAAGUGGUGAAUCAUGUCAAAAGUGGGACGGUCCUUUAUGUCCCUGCUCCAACAUUUCAGCAUCAGGUCAAACACGGGGUUAGGACACAGAGGAGUCUGGGACAGAUAGAUCUGAAAAAAAUAAAAAACACAGAGGGAGCUCAGUGUUGGUUCCUUAACAGAAUGGAACCUUGGCUAAGUUAAGGCCAUGGGACAGCUUCAGCCCAGGGCUUCACAAGACAGCAGUCAUGCAAUGUUGGAGAUCCAUUCAAGGUGAAUCCAGCAGUGGCGUGGCUCUGCACAGCACUGCCAACUCGUGCCACGAGCUGCUCACUGGGCUGCACAAAUGCUUCAGGAGGAUCAGUCGGACACAGAACACAAACCAACACACCACAAUGAAAUCCAAACACUUUCACUCACCGUAGACAACCCAUGAGGCUUUCUAAGCAUCGUGACAGCUUGUUAGCAGAGAAGAAAAAACACCUUUUAGAGCUUAUCUAAAGUACAGGUUGGCAGAUUUAUUUAUCAUCUUUCCUCCACUUCAAUACAGUGACCUUUCAGACUCUCCACUGAGCCAUUUAUAUCUGGGAGACAAUGAAUAAAACCCUGCAUUAUUGUACCCCACUUUAACCCCUCAACUUUUGGUACUCAGUGUGAGUUCUGAGAGAACAAGCAACUGUCCAUCCACUCUGCUGGGGCACAGCCACCCUUGGAGGUGCUCAUUUGCCAUGCUCUAUUUAGCAUGAUCACUGAUCUAUCUAUUGAAGGAUACAAAGGUAGCAGCAGUGGGCUGUACAGUCCUGCCUGGAACCAGAGGAUAAUGACAUAGAGAAGCCCUUCAGCACUUAGAGCUCAGCAUGGAUGGAGAUACGGGGAGUAUUCUACCCCCCGGGCACUAACAGUUCCUCCCUCCCCACCUCAGUAAGUGCUCUUUGUCCUUCAGAAGAAACACAAAUGGAAGAAAGAUCUGACAAAGUCAGAGAGCAAAGGAGUUGUGCAGGGCAGCUCAGAAAAGCUAAGGAGGUCAGGGCAUCAAAGGCAGCCUGCAACACGAGUGGCUCAUGACAUCAGGCACCGGGCAGGCCAGGAGGCUCUUCCAGUGGGACUGGAGGGGAAAGGCAGUCCCAUGAGCUGCACAAAGGGCAGGAGGGGUGGGACACGCUUGAAAAGAUGUGUAAUAGAAGUGCAAGAAUUUCUGCAGAUGAUGUGAGAGCAGCAGGAAGGCCCUGGGAGAUCCACCGGGCUGUGACAGGGACAGGAGAAGAAAGCAGAGGUCACAUUUGCUUUCUUACCUGCCUGCCCUGGCUCCGGAAGAACUCCCCUGUGUUCUCGAUGACUUGCUCAUCUGAGAGGAGGCUGUAAGGCUGCUCCUUGCACAGUAUGAACAUCUCCCAGAGGGUGACCCCGAACGCCCAGACAUCGCUGGCCGUGGUGAACUUGCCCUGUGAACAGAAAGUAAACCUGGUUUGCACACAGCACUCAUUUGGCAAAAAACUAUUUCAAUCUGUUCUCUCAGAUCACAAGGAUUCAUACCUGGGAAAACACUCCACAGACAGCAGAGCAGCCCACGUGCUCUCAGCAAUGCACAGAGGGGCUGAAGCACAACACUGCUGCUUUGCAGGGCAAGAACAGCACAUCUCUGUGGACUCCCAGGACAGCUUUAGGGAGGUGAAGCUCUCACUGGACAAACCUCUUGAAACGGGGAGCAAGGCUCAGAGAAAGCUGGGAACUGCCAUUUCUCCUGGGAUGCCUGCAUUCGCCUCCAGCUGUAGCAAAAUGCUGUGUGCUGGGCAGGGGGUGACAGCUGCUGCCCACCUCCACCCAAAACACGGCACUGCAGCACAGAAAAGCCUCUGAACAGGAAGCAAAGCCCCAGGGGUGAAAGCAGAGCCAGAGCUGGCUCUGAGGCUGGGAUAAUUCUGGUCUUUGCACAUGUAUGAGUUGGUGACAGUCUGCUCCCUGUCCCUGUUUUCUGUCUUUAAAAAAAAUAAAAAGUGCCCAAACUGGAUUUGUUUGGAACAAUAUGUUUCUGAAGAAGUAAAAAGAAGCCAAAAGACUACUCACAAAAUCACAGACAACAAUCAGGGCUGGAGGGCAGCUUUGUUAGCAAGCAGCCAGGAUUGCCCAGGCUUAGCCAGCAAACCCAGC